rnacentral:lncRNA from 1 species
UUAAAUAUAGUUAGAAAUAUAUACAGUUAGAAAUUCAACGGUUAUAACUAUAUGCGCCUUACUUAGUUGGAUGCAAUAAAAAGUACUGUAAUUAUAAAUAAUUUAUUUCAUUGCACGUAGUCGAGAACUAAAUUUUUAAAAUUGUAUCACUUUUAUAUAAUAAAAAGCCCAAGAGAAACAGAUGGUCGGUUCGAUUUAUAGUCUGACAAACUAUCUCACAAUUAGAUUUUAAAUUGCCUACAAUUUCGUGCGUAAAAAUUUCUACAUAUAGAAUUGAUAUAUCAAUUGAACUUCAAUAAAAUUAACCAUAUUAUUUAUAUUGGACGGUGCAGAUUAAUUAUACGAAAAAUCAACG